UCAAAGGGGAUCGAGGCAUUAUCGUCACUGUGAUCAUGCCCGUCUUACUACCGUGCCAGCAGCUGCGUAGAUCGUAAGUGGGGCGAGCGUUGUUCCGAGUUACUGGGCGUAAAGGGCCCGCAAGCGUCUGCGCGUUGGGGGUGCAGUCAGUCGGCUUACCUGCCGAUCGACCCGCAAGACGGCCCAGACUCAGAGGGCCUCAGAGGACAUGGAAGUCCGGGUGGAGCGGUGAAAUGCGUAGAGAUCCGGAGGAACACCAAAGGCGUAGGCAGUGUCCUGGGAGGCACCUGACGCUCAUGGGCGAAGGCCAGGGGAGCGAACGGGAUUAGAUACCCCGGUAGUCCUGGCGGUAAACGAUGACCACUAGGUGUGCGGCGUAUCGACCCGCUGCGUGCCGACGUUAACACAGUAAGUGGUCCGCCUGGGGAAUACGGUCGCAAGAUUAAAACUCAAAGGAAUUGACGGGGACCCGCACAAGCAGCGGAGCGUGUGGUUUAAUUCGAUGCGACGCGAAGCACCUUACCAGGGUUUGACAUGCCGGCAAAACUCUCGGAAACGGGAGGUCCGCAAGGGUGCCGGCACAGGUGCUGCAUGGCUGUCGUCAGCUCGUGCCGUGAGGUGUUGGGUUAAGUCCCGCAACGAGCGCAACCCUCAUCGUCGGUUACAGGUAUCCGAGGAGACUGCCACGAGUAACGUGGAGGAAGGUGGGGAUGACGUCAAGUCAGCACGGCCCUGAUAUCCUGGGCGACACACACGCUACAAUGGCCGCAGACAAUGGGGCGCCAACCCGCGAGGGGCAGCCAAUCCCAGCAAAGGCGGUCACAGUUCGGAUGGCAGGCUGCAACUCGCCUGCCUGAAGGCGGAGUUGCUAGUAACCGUGGGUCAGCACACCACGGUGAAUACGUUCCCGGGUCUUGUACUCACCCCCGUC
rnacentral:rRNA from 1 species